GAUGAACGCUGGCGGCGUGCCUAAUACAUGCAAGUCGAGCGAAUGAUGAGGAGCUUGCUCCUCUGAUUUAGCGGCGGACGGGUGAGUAACUCGUGGGUAAUCUGCCUGUAAGACGGGGAUAACUCCGGGAAACCGGGGCUAAUACCGGAUAACAAGAGAAGAAGCAUUUCUUCUUUUUGAAAGUCGGUUUUGGCUGACACUUACAGAUGAGCCCGCGGCGCAUUAGCUAGUUGGUGAGGUAACGGCUCACCAAGGCGACGAGGCGUAGCCGACCUGGGAGGGUGAUCGGCCACACUGGGACUGAGACACGGCCCAGACUCCUACGGGAGGCAGCAGUAGGGAAUCUUCGGCAAUGGGCGAAAGCCUGACCGAGCAACGUCGCGUGAGCGAUGAAGGCCUUCGGGUCGUAAAGCUCUGUUGUUAGAGAAGAACAAGUACGAGAGUAACUGCUCGUACCUUGACGGUACCUAACCAGAAAGCCACGGCUAACUACGUGCCAGCAGCCGCAGUAAAAC
rnacentral:rRNA from 1 species